GAUGAACGCUGGCGGCGUGCCUAACACAUGCAAGUCGAACGGACCUUGCUUAAUUGGAGUACUUGUACAAAGAGAAAGCGUAGGUUAGUGGCGGACGGGUGAGUAACACGUGGGUAAUUAACCUUCUAGACUGGGAUAACAACGGGAAACUGGUGCUAAUACCGGAUAAGAUUCAUUGGCGGCAUCGCCGAUGGAAGAAAAGAGGCCUCUCCAUGGAAGCUCCUGCUAGAAGACAAGCCCGCGGCUGAUUAGCUAGUUGGUGAGGUAAUGGCUCACCAAGGCCACGAUCAGUAGCCGGCCUGAGAGGGUGAACGGCCACACUGGGACUGAGACACGGCCCAGACUCCUACGGGAGGCAGCAGUGGGGAAUAUUGCGCAAUGGAGGAAACUCUGACGCAGCAACGCCGCGUGAAUGAAGAAGGCUUCGGGUUGUAAGUUACUGUCAAUUGGAAGAACCUUAAGGUACAAUAGCCUUAGAGAUGACGGUACCAGUGAAGGAAGACUCCGG
rnacentral:rRNA from 1 species